rnacentral:lncRNA from 1 species
UUUCAAUUGUUUAUGAUUUUAGGGAUAGUGGAGUUAAUCAUAGAUCUUAGUAUCACCAGAGUUGGUGGGAGUAAUUGAUAGAAUGAUUCUUCCUGAAUCUUUCAUAAAGCAAUGAUUGAUGCAGUAAACUUUUGGUUCUCAAUUGAGGACUGAUUACCUUUGCCAUGUUGUUGUAGCAAUAUCAAGUGGUAAGAGUGGAAGUCUAUUGUUCUUGUAAGAUGCAUGACCUGUGCGAUAUCAAUUAUUAUUUGACUAAAUAUGUUAUUUGAUUAUAAAUUAGAUUUUCCUUGUGAUUGGCAUUGGGGUGGUUACUGGUGUCCAUGACUUUAGAACCAUGGAACCUCAGAGGUUCAAGCAUGUUGGUGAUAUUG